UACAGAGGUCUCAAGCGUUGUUCGGAUUCAUUGGGCGUAAAGGGCGUGUAGGUGGUUACGUAAGUCUGGCGUGAAAUUUUUCGGCUUAACCGGGAAAGGUCGUCGGAUACUGCGGGACUAGAGGACGGUAGAGGCGUGUGGAAUUCCGGGUGUAGUGGUGAAAUGCGUAGAGAUCCGGAGGAGCACCAGUGGCGAAGGCGACACGCUGGGCCGUACCUGACACUGAUGCGCGACAGCAUGGGGAGCAAACAGG
rnacentral:rRNA from 1 species